rnacentral:rRNA from 1 species
CCUACGGGAGGCAGCAGUGGGGAAUAUUGGACAAUGGGCGCAAGCCUGAUCCAGCCAUGCCGCGUGAGUGAUGAAGGCCUUAGGGUUGUAAAGCUCUUUUAUCCGGGACGAUAAUGACGGUACCGGAGGAAUAAGCCCCGGCUAACUUCGUGCCAGCAGCCGCGGCAAUACGAAGGGGGCUAGCGUUGCUCGGAAUCAUUGGGCGUGAAGGGCGCGUAGUCGGCGUUUUAAGUCGGGGGUGAAAGCCUGUGGCUCAACCACAGAAUGGCCUUCGAUACAGGGACGCUUGAGUAUAGUAGAGGUGAGUGGAACUGCGAGUGUAGAGGUGAAAUUCGUAGAUAUUCGCAGGAACACCGGUGGCGAAGGCGGCCAACUGGACCAUUACUGACGCUGAGGCGCGAAAGCGUGGGGAGCAAACAGGAUUAGAUACCCGUGUAGUC